AACGAACGCUGGCGGCAUGCCUAACACAUGCAAGUCGAACGAGACCUUCGGGUCUAGUGGCGCACGGGUGCGUAACGCGUGGGAACCUGCCCUUAGGUUCGGAAUAACUCCCCGAAAGGGGUGCUAAUACUGGAUAAUGUCUUCGGACCAAAGAUUUAUCGCCUUUGGAUGGGCCCGCGUUGGAUUAGCUAGUUGGUAGGGUAAAAGCCUACCAAGGCGACGAUCCAUAGCUGGUCUGAGAGGAUGAUCAGCCACACUGGGACUGAGACACGGCCCAGACUCCUACGGGAGGCAGCAGUGGGGAAUAUUGUACAAUGGGCGAAAGCCUGAGCCGGCAAUGCCGCGUGAGUGAUGAAGGCCUUAGGGUUGUAAAGCUCUUUUACCCGGGAUGAUAAUGACAGUACCGGGAGAAUAAGCUCCGGCUAACUCCGUG
rnacentral:rRNA from 1 species